ensembl:lncRNA
AUGUUUCUUUGUUGCAGGUUAAAAUCUUGUAAAGAACCGCUGAAACAAAUCACCUUCUUUGUAGAAUUCUUCCACAAAUCAUUAAAUAAUUGCGACUGCAAACUUUUUGAGGUGAGAGGACGAUAUAACCCAGAAACAUUCAAUCCUCUGCUGGAUCUGUACUCACAUGUGAGGAACUAUGAGACUCAAACAGGCAGGAGUUUUCUUCCAGCAUUACAGGCAGUUUUCCAGUCACCUGAUGCCUGGAUCAUAGAUCUCUCAGAGAGAAAGAGCUCGGUCCUCCUGGAAGUGCUGAAGCUCCAGACAGAGAAGAAACCAGUAAAUCUGAUUGGAUGUUCAGAGGAAGAGAGAGACGUGAAGAGUUUCCUUCAGUGUCUGCAACACAUCUCAGAGCUGAGAAUCUCUGAUCUGAGUGAAAGCGUUCUUCGUGGAUUUCUUCUGAGUCUCUUCAUUAAAGCAGCAGAGAUUGAGACACAGACAGGAGAACAGAUGCUGGAACUGUUAGCAUCAGUCUGCAUCAGCUCUUCUAAUUAUAAAUGGACUGACAUAUUUUAUGAUUGGGAUUUCCUGCUGGAUCUGUGCUCACAUGUGAAGAACUAUGAGACUCAAACAGGCAGGAGUGUUCUUCCAGCAUUACAGUCAGUUUUCCAGUCACCUGAUGUCUGGAGCAUAGAUCUCUCAGAGAGAAAGAGCUCGGUCCUCCUGGAAGUGCUGAAGCUCCAGACAGAGAAGAGAACAGUCGAGCUCAGAAGAUGUUCAGAGAAAGAGAGAGACGUGAAGAGUUUCCUUCAGUGUCUGCAACACAUCUCACAGCUGAGACUCGACCUCACUCUCAAACCUAAAGCUGUCUCUGUCAGAAGAACAAGGCUUCUCUUCAGACACCUCACAAACAUACACACACUCAGGCUGAGUGGUUAUAUGCUGGUGAGAGUUGUGCAGGCGUUGAGGUUUAUGAAGGUUCGAGCUCCCAUCACCGUUAAUGAGCUCACACUUGAUCUGAAUGAGGAACAGCAGUCAGAAAGGAGUCUGUCCAGGAUCAUGAGCAAAUUAGCCAUCCUUCUGAGACUCUGGACGGUCAAGUGUUUGAACUUGACUGAAUACAAGAUUCAGUCUGUUUCUGUGUCUGUCCUGCUGUGUCACCAGGGACCAGUGACUCUCAGACUGUCCAAAGAGACUCUCCAGAAGCUUGUUAAUUGUGUUUAUGAAGCUCAGGAAGAGGAACUGACUCAGUGCUUCCUGCAGAAAGUGGGCAGGGAUCUGACUUCCUGUUCCUUGAGCUGGGAAGAGCUUCAUUAUUUCCUGCAGCACAGAAUUCAACAAAUCACUCUGAACCUCAGAAAAAGUAACAUUCAGGUCAACAUCAGAGAAAUUCUGCCAUUCCUGAACCGGAUUAAGUUUAAACGGAUGAGCUCUGCCUUCAUGCUGUGUGUUAUCAGAGAGAUCUAUGAGUCCGGCUCUGCUGGGUUUGUGUCCAGUCUGUUGAGUUCAGUGGAGAACUACAUUAACCUGCAGAGCAGAGAUCUGGACUCUGUUCACUGUGCGGCCCUGCGCUUCACACUGCAGCACUGCACUGCAGCUUCACUCAACCUGCUCUGGACCUCCAUACCUGAGGAAGAGCUGCAGAGCAUUCUGCCUCUCUUCACACACCUCUCCCACCUCAGUGUUGACAGGCUGCUGUUACUGAAGAUUCUUCACUGCUGCAGUGUCUCUGAUGUCCAGCAGGAAGCAGCAGCUGUUCUGCUCUCUGUCCUUCAGCACAAGCUGGACUUCUCCUGCUGCUCUGCUCUGGAUCUGACAGCAAACACAGACUCAGAGCCUCUACAUCUGACCGCUGACGACUGCCAUGAGAUGUCCAGAGUCAUUCAGAGAGCUGAUUCAGACACAAAGACACGGCUGAUUCUGCAGGACUGUGAGAUUCAUACAGCUGGCAUUUAUCAGCUGUUCCCAGUGUUACAUUCUGUUCAUCUCUGCUGUGAUAAACCUCUGCUGCUUCAGUUUCUGGCUCGUGUGAGGCCUGAGGAAGCCCAGUCUCUCUCUCAAGCUCUGGGUGAAGAGCUGGAUCUCAGUCAGACUCCGCUGGAUCCGCAGGUCUGUAGAGGUCUGGAGCUGAUUCUGGAAUAUUCUGAAGGACUGACAGAACUGGAUCUGAGUCAGUGCCGUCUCACCGAUCACAGCCUGGAUCUGCUGCUCCCAAACCUCCACAAAACUCAAAUCAUUGAGUGAGUGAUUGAAAAAACUCACAGUGUACAUGUCUCAAGUAUAAUGUAAUAGUUCUUACAUUCCUGAUUUGUUUGUUUGAUCACAGUUUCAGUGGCAACAGCAUCACUGACGCUGGGGCUGAGAAGAUCUACAGUAUCGUCACUCGCAACAGUAACAUUGAGACAGUAAGGUGUGUGUCUGAGUGUCACAAUGUAGCCCAAAGUUAUUUAAACUUAUUAAAACAUGGGUUAAAGUGUUGUUUUUUUCUUCCUCUUUUUAUUCAUUUAUUCAUCAUAGUAUAUGUUGUCAUGCUCACUGGUGAGAAAAUCAUUAAUGCCUCAUUAAUGCUAAUAAUAUGUUAAGUGUGUGUGUUUCAUUUACAUGUAUUCAUUUAUCAGAUGCUUUCAUCCAAAGCGAUUUACAGAUGAGGAAUACAGACAGCAGGUUGAAGCUAAUAUCAGUGUGUAUGUGUGUUUGUGUGUGUGUGUGUGUGUGUUUGUAUCUUUGUAGGCUCUUCAACAACAGAAUUGAAUCCAGAGAGCUCUUCAGCAAAGACCCCCGAAUUGAGAUCUGGUGAUGUCUGGAAUCAACAAGCAGGUGAAAAUAACCAGUGCAGAGACAUUCAGUUUACUUGGUUUUUAUUGUACUUGUAUUUUAGCACUGACAAAUUAUUGAAAAAAAGUUUAUCAGCAUUAAAUUUCUCUUUUGAGUUUAGUACUGUUAUGUAAUUAGCAUAAUCUGAAUAGACUGUGGAGUGAUUUAUAUCUUUUAUUUUUAAUUACUAAAAAGAGCAGUCUGUGUGUAAAACUACUGGCAUAAAUUUUCAUGAGUGCUAUAAAAUGAUUAUGAUAGCAUAUAUUUGAAGAAAAGCGCUGCAUGCUUUGACAACUUGAUGUUUCAAUUUCAGUGUCUCUCUAGUAGUGGACAGCAAUGAUGUAUUGAUAACAAGAGCCCAGAUGAUCCACAGCAACGACAGAAAGGAGGAGAUAGACACGAAGACAACCAAAAUAAAGAGCAAGUGCAUUCUGAUUAGCUGAUCUUC